rnacentral:rRNA from 1 species
UUGACCUCGGAUCAGGUAGGGAUACCCGCUGAACUUAAGCAUAUCAAUAAGCGGAGGAAAAGAAACCAACAGGGAUUGCCUCAGUAACGGCGAGUGAAGCGGCAACAGCUCAAAUUUGAAAUCUGGCUCCUUCGGGGUCCGAAUUGUAAUUUGUAGAGAGUGCUUCGGGCGAGACCUCGGUCUAAGUCCAUUGGAACAUGGUGUCAUAGAGGGUGAGAAUCCCGUAUGCGACCGUGGCUCGAGCCCAUGUGAAGCCUCUUCGACGAGUCGAGUUGUUUGGGAAUGCAGCUCAAAAUGGGUGGUAAAUUUCAUCUAAAGCUAAAUACUGGCUGGAGACCGAUAGCGCACAAGUAGAGUGAUCGAAAGAUGAAAAGCACUUUGGAAAGAGAGUCAAACAGUACGUGAAAUUGUUGAAAGGGAAGCGCUUGCAACCAGACCUGCCCGUAGGCGAUCCGCCGCUGUUCUCAGCGGUGUACUCGCUCUGCGAUCAGGCCAGCAUCGGUUUCGGCGGUCGGAUAAAGGCCUUGGGAAUGUAGCUUCCCCUCGGGGGAGUCUUAUAGCCCUCGGUGUAAUGCGGCCAGCUGGGACCGAGGACCGCGCUUCGGCUAGGAUGCUGGCGUAAUGGUUGUAAGCGACCCGUCUUGAAACACGGACCAAGGAGUCUAACAUCUAUGCGAGUGUUUGGGUGUCAAACCCAUACGCGAAAUGAAAGUGAACGGAGGUGAGAACCCUUAAGGGCGCAUCAUCGACCGAUCCAGAUGUCUUCGGAUGGAUUUGAGUAUGAGCAUAGCUGUUGGGACCCGAAAGAUGGUGAACUAUGCCUGAAUAGGGUGAAGCCAGAGGAAACUCUGGUGGAGGCUCGCAGCGGUUCUGACGUGC